CACGAACCGUACGAACGUUAUUCGGAAUUACCGGGCUUAAAGGGUUUGUAGGCGGCCUUAUAAGUCAGGUGUGAAAGCCCUCGGCUCAACCGAGGAAUAGCGCUUGAUACUGUAAGGCUUGAGGGAGACAGGGGUAAGCGGAACUGAUGGUGGAGCGGUGAAAUGCGUUGAUAUCAUCAGGAACACCGGUGGCGAAAGCGGCUUACUGGGUCUCUUCUGACGCUGAGGAACGAAAGCUAGGGUAGCGAACGGG
rnacentral:rRNA from 1 species